UCACGGGCAGAUCCGCCCCUGGUAGGAACUAUGCUCUUUGUCCAUAGUUUCAACAUUCCUAGGGCUCGAACCUGAGAUUUCUGGUUAAAGGUCCUAUUUAUUCCUGCGCAGUUCAUAGUAGUAGUUGCUGGUGUACAAUGGCUACAUAGGUUACAUGACAAUCAUGAAUCAUUACUCAUGGAUUUGUGGGUCAGGAGGUUAACUUAGUUGCAACUUGCAACUGUACUUGUCACAAUCAAGAAUAUCUUGGUACAGCUGAUGAUAAUGUAAUGUAAGAUAACAAAUGAUGAUCCACCAAAAUAUUUGUUGUGUUACCUGAUAUCUUUUUGCAGUGUCAACGCAUGACAGGAUAUCACAACCAUUUUUAGCAGAUGAGCUAAAACUUUCAGGAAGCUGAUAAUGAUUAUUGAUGCUGAGAAAUUUAUUUCAAUCAUUCUGGAUUUGUCAGGUAAUUUUGCCACACUUUUCUUCUUGUACUUCUUCUAGACGGGAAAAUCACCUUUUUUCCUCUUCCUCUCUGAGCAGUAAUUUCACAUUCAAUUUUCAAUUUAUUGCAUCAAACUCAUAAAACUAAUAUCGCUGGAAAAGAAUGCAGUAUAAUAAUAAAUAAUCCCUUGUAGGUGACGAAUGCAAGUCCUAUGACUACAUAUCUACACUUCCUGUGUAAUUCUCUUUAGAUGAAAUUUGGGUGGAAAAAAAAUCAAAAAAUAACAUUAGACAGCAAAAGUGUGAAAUUCUCUUGGUAGGAGAGCAAAACUUCUUAUGUGUAUCUUGUAUGGUUUCUUCCCUUGUUCAAGAUCACAAGACUUGCAAACAAAGUUUUUUUGUUUUCAAUAACCGUGGUGUCUGGGCCAGCUUGCCGCACCUCGACACAAAUAACUUUAAAUCUAUCAUAAGCAAUGUGACUUGAAUCGACCAAGAGAAGAUCUCCAUUUUCUUGAGUGGAGAUUUCUAAAUGAUUAACCUUCUUCAUGUUUGUGACCUUCAUUUGCCAGAAAGUCAGACAUUUUUUUUCGUUCCACCAGAUGUAUAUAAUAGUAGCUCUCGUGUGUUCCAGCAAAUUUUUACGGUCUUCAAUAAUAGUCCUGAAGAUUAAUGUUGUAUGUCCUCCUCUUUGAUAAGCUUGACAACAAGUAGAUAGUUUGUUUCCACCUCUAAUUCUUUAUAACAUAUUUCUUUUGCUGCUUUUGAACCUUGUUUGAUGCUCUAUGGCUUUAUAGCGAGGCUUGAAGUUGGCUUCAUUUUACCUGUAUAACUCAAUAUCCACUUUCCUUGUUCGUCUCUAUAAAUCCUUACAAAUGCAGCAUCUCUAGUUUGAGUCUUGAAAUUGGCAUUACUGGCGAUCUGUAAAUAGGGCAAUGUUUGUAUUAGGAAGUUGGCUAAUAUUGGAAUGUGGUGGCAUGGUGCUAUGCACUCCUUAAUUAAAGCCAUGUCAUGCCCUUUGCCUAGACAUCAUCUCUCAUCAGGUUUAGCUAAAUAAUAUUGGGAAAACAAAAUAAUAAAAGAAAACUUGAGCAGAGGAUUUUUUUUUUUUGAUAACUGUGGUGUCCGGGCCAGCUUGCACGCACCUCGACUAAUUCCACGGGAUACACGCUGCCUCCUCCAGCAACAACAGAUGUUAGGUAACUAUGUCCACCAAGGAUAGAAUAGGUGGGAAGAAAUCACCCAGUGUUUGUCUCUACUGAAAAUUUAACCUGAUACCUCAUGGUGCUCGACCCACAACAUUGACCACUAGGCCACUCCCUUGGAUGCGUGGAGGAAUUGAGAUGCUUUACCCGUAUCUUAUAAUUUUGAGUUGGAUGUUCAAAUUCUUUUGGUCAAAUACAUAGACGGCCCCUUAAAGUUGCUUCAGUUUCCUUUUCUUUUCUUUUUUUUCCUGAUAACAACUUCAGUUUUUAUUUCGACACCUUCACUAAAGUCGAUACUUUAACACUCUAACAUCAUUCAAAGUGUGUCCGUUAAACUCUUUGCAAAGAAAAAAAUUGUGAAAAAGAAAAAAGAAAUGAGAAAGAGAAGAAAGGAAAAGUAUGGAAAAAAGGUUAUAUAAGUGAUUCACGCGCUCAACAAUAACUGAAAGUCACUUUUUGCGCCACGUCAAUCCGAGGUGUUUAAUAGACACACUUGGAAUGGUGUUGGAGUGUUCAACAGGUAUUUUCCCUCUUUUAGGUGUAAAUGUGAAAAUUGGAGCCAACUUUAAAGGGCCGUCUGGAUAUUUGGCCAAUUCCUUUAAAAGAUAGCAAAAUAUGCAAACAUGCAAGAUGCUUGAGUACACAUGAAAAUUAACAUCUUAUUAAGUUCCACUUGAAUAGUUAAAUGUACAUAACAAAAUAUCACAUUUCACAAGCAUGCUGGCAUGUAACUUAUUAGCUCAUAUACACAAAGCAAACAGAGAAGAAGAAAAAGCAGCCAGGAUAGACCAUUCCCUGGAACGUGUGGGGAAGAAGAGAAGUGGCACCAGACGGAACAACAUUCACAGAGGAAGAAUCCGAGGAGGGAUCGUCCUUCUUUGGCUUUGAUGGCUCUGGAGCAGGUGCUGGUGGUAAUGGUUUGACAAAGAAUUUCAAAGGAAGCAGUACCUUAUCCACUUGGUAAAUAGCUAAUUGACUGUCAGUGUAAAUUGUACUGGUCAGACUUGCAUUAACAAUCCCAGUUGUUAUGUUCACUGCUGUCCCGUUUGUGGCUAUAUUGAUGGGGAAUUCACGAUUAGUGGUUCCUCCAGCUUGUGUUUGUACAGGGUUGCUAGCCGUUUGGAACUGUGAUAGGGAGAAAUAUGAGGGGAGGAUAUGGAAUUUAACUAAUUCAGCUUUCCGCUGAUCACUGAAAGAGUUGAGGGUGCCAGUUUUCAGGUUCAAGAAAGCACCAUCCGAUGGAACAAACAUGGUUAUGCUGUUGGAGUUGUUUAGUAAUGAGGUGAUUUCACCCACUUCAUGAGUGAUUUGUAACAACUUGAUGAACGUCGAACAUGAUCCAGCUUUCGCAAGGAUUUUUAUCACGUUUGGCAG
rnacentral:lncRNA from 1 species